rnacentral:snRNA from 1 species
GUGCUCACUUCGGCAGCACAUAUACUAAAAUUGGAAUGAUACAGAGAGGAUUAGCAUGGCCCAUGCACAAGGAUGACACACAAAUUCGUGAAGCGUUCCAUAUUUUU